rnacentral:misc_RNA from 1 species
UCCGGUUUGUCACCGGCGGUCAGCCUAGAGUGCCCACCUUAACGUGCUGGCAACUAAGCUCAAGGGUUGCGCUCGUUGCGGGACUUAACCCAACAUCUCACGACACGAGCUGACGACAACCAUGCACCACCUGUCUCCCCUGUCCCGAAGGCCGCUGCUAUCUCUAGCAGAUUCAGGGGGAUGUCAAGACCUGGUAAGGUUCUUCGCGUUGCUUCGAAUUAAACCACAUACUCCACUGCUUGUGCGGGUCCCCGUCAAUUCCUUUGAGUUUCAGUCUUGCGACCGUACUCCCCAGGCGGAGUGCUUAAUGUGUUAACUUCGGCACCGAGGGGUGGACCCCCCCGACACCUAGCACUCAUCGUCUACGGCGUGGACUAC